rnacentral:rRNA from 1 species
GACGAACGCUGGCGGCGUGCUUAACACAUGCAAGUCGAGCGGUAAGGCCCUUUCGGGGGUACACGAGCGGCGAACGGGUGAGUAACACGUGGGUGACCUGCCCUCAGCUCUGGGAUAAGCCUGGGAAACCGGGUCUAAUACCGGAUAUGACUCCAUGACGCAUGUUGUGGGGUGGAAAGCCUUGUGCGGCUGAGGAUGGGCCCGCGGCCUAUCAGCUUGUUGGUGGGGUGAUGGCCUACCAAGCGACGACGGGUAGCCGGCCUGAGAGGGCGACCGGCCACACUGGGACUGAGACACGGCCCAGACUCCUACGGGAGGGCAGCAGUGGGGAAUCUUGCGCAAUGGGCGAAAGCCUGACGCAGCGACGCCGCGUGAGGGAUGACGGCCU